CCUACGGGAGGCAGCAGUGGGGAAUAUUGCACAAUGGGCGAAAGCCUGAUGCAGCAACGCCGCGUGAGCGAUGAAGGCCUUCGGGUCGUAAAGCUCUGUCCUCAAGGAAGAUAAUGACGGUACUUGAGGAGUAAGCCCCGGCUAACUACGUGCCAGCAGCCGCGGUAAUACGAAGGGGGCUAGCGUUAUCCGGAAUUACUGGGCGUAAAGGGUGCGUAGGGGGGUUCUUAAGUCAGAGGUGAAAGGCUAAGGCUUAACAGUAGUAAGCCUUUGAAACUGGGGAACUUGAGUGCAGGAGAGGAAGGUGGAAUUCCUAGUGUAGGGGUAAAAUGCGUAGAGAUUAGGAGGAACACCAGUUGCGAAGGCGACUCUCUGGAAUGUAACUGACACUGAGGCACGAAAGCGUGGGGAGCAAACAGGAUUAGAUACCCCAGUAGUC
rnacentral:rRNA from 1 species